rnacentral:lncRNA from 1 species
GGAGUUUCACCUGCUAUUUUCUGCUAGUUUUGCAUCUCUGUUCCCUAGCUAGAUCUCAACAUUGUUGGAGCCGGAACAGGUGCCAGAUGAGGAAGAAGAGUUAGUGGUUCAAGAAGACUGUCUGCCUUUGUCUCUGCACUGCCAGUGUUUCAGUCAUGGUUUCAUUAGUUCUGCAGCAAAAAGAAUCAUCCAGUCCAGGCAGGAUCUGAAUUCCUAAUGAUAGACGAGAUGAAAAGAAAAAACACUAAAUGGCCUUAAUAUCAGCAGCCUAACUUUGGUCCAGUCUUGGAGAGCAUUUCAAAUGUAAGUAAACAAUCAUCCAGAACAGCACAAUAAUUUUUCCUCUAACUUAAAUUCAAUAUCCCUUUCUUCACCAAACAGUUCUUAAAUAUAAAGCAUUAGCUUUUUUUUUCAAAGCAUUACAUUGUCAAUACAACAUGUUGCUUUUGAUGAUAAUAUCAAAGCAACACAUUUACUGAUGUCAUGUUAGGUAAAGGAAAUUUUCCAGGUCAGAUAUUUGUAGGUUAGGUAACUAUUAAGCUAUCAAUGAAUCAAUUAAAAAGACAUUUUCAUAUCAUAUGGGACAAAUUAUUACAGAUACUACAAGGAAAAGUGUGGGGAAG